UACGUAGGUGGCAAGCGUUGUUCGGAAUUAUUGGGCGUAAAGGGUAGGUAGGUGGUCUCAUUUGUCUGGGGUGAAGGCCUUGAGCUUAACUCAAGAAGUGCCCCAGAAACGGUGAGACUGGAGUCCUGGAGAGGGUCGUGGAAUUCCCGGUGUAGCGGUGAAAUGCGUAGAGAUCGGGAGGAACACCAGAGGCGAAAGCGGCGACCUGGACAGGUACUGACACUCAACUACGAAAGCGUGGGGAGCAAACAGG
rnacentral:rRNA from 1 species